AAUAUCAUCAAUUGUUGUUUUGCAGGACACAAAGCAGUCAAAAUUUUCUUUAACCAACUGUUUCCUCUGCAGGGUACGUCCUUUAAGAUCAGUCUUCACAGCAAGAGCACCUGAUUCUAACUCAGACGCGCUGGUGUCUUGGUGAAUUCGACAAAGAAACAACUUCGGGUCGAAUUUCUCAGAGAAGUAAUUCAACCUCUCUCGAACAUUGGGGUCUAAAUGAUCUCUGUCGCCUAUGGAUGGGGAACUUGAUAUGUUCUCACUAAUUAACCUUAAUGUUCUGUUGUCAACUAUCCCCAAUUUUAGAGGAUCGACGCAUUCCAUGCCACGAGGAAAAGACUGCAAAUUAUUAAGAUCCUUUUUUGGGACUGCUGUCUUCUCCUGCUCAGGCUUUUGAGUGGUUGCAACCACUCUUGCCUCCCUCAUCUCACGAACCCUGCGUCUUAGCUCAGAUUCAUCAACACGUUUCCAGGAAUCAGGUUCGCCUCCAUCCCACAAUCCAUCAUCCUCCCGUCCAGCUCUUCCCCCACCACUAACCACCCGAUUCCUCGACCCAAACCCGCGAUCCUUGGACGAAUCCUCAUCACCAGAUGAUAUACUCAGCAUCUCGAUUUCCGAGUCAUCAUCAUCCUCCACAGUUUUCCUCUGGUUACUACUACUCUUAUUACUUGUCUUCUGCAUCGCGGCGGCAAUAUUAGGGUUCUUCCUCUCCGACGUAGCACCAGCAGCAACUCUCAAAUUAGGCUGCGACGGCGGCUGAACGAAGUUUCGAACUGGUUUUGAAGGUUGCUUCGAUGGUUUCUGGUAAUUAAUAUUGCGUUGUGCUUGCUCCUGUAAUGCGAUCUGUAAGAGCUCGUCUUCGUCGUCAGUGUCGGUUGACAUUAUUUAUAGUAUUUGAAGAUUAUUAAAGUAUACUAUUCUCGUGAAAAAAAUUAAAAAUGGAGUGUGUUUGAAUUUUUGGGAUCUGUGGGUUGAGAAUUGUGAUGAUUAGUUUAAUUUUAUUUGUUGUUGGUUAAUACAAAGGUGAAAUGUACAGGGGAAGAAGGAGGGUAGAAGGAGAGAGAGA
rnacentral:misc_RNA from 1 species